AGCGAACGCUGGCGGCAGGCUUAACACAUGCAAGUCGAGCGGGCAUCCUUGUGGUGUCAGCGGCAGACGGGUGAGUAACGCGUGGGAACGUGCCCUUCGGUUCGGAAUAACUCAGGGAAACUUGAGCUAAUACCGGAUACGCCCUUUUGGGGAAAGGUUUACUGCCGAAGGAUCGGCCCGCGUCUGAUUAGCUAGUUGGUGAGGUUAUGGCUCACCAAGGCGACGAUCAGUAGCUGGUCUGAGAGGAUGAUCAGCCACACUGGACUGAGACACGGCCCAGACUCCUACGGGAGGCAGCAGUGGGGAAUAUUGGACAAUGGGGGCAACCCUGAUCCAGCCAUGCCGCGUGAGUGAUGACGGCCUUAGGGUUGUAAAGCUCUUUUCUCCGGGACGAUAAUGACGGUACCGGAGGAAUAAGCCCCGGCUAACUUCGUG
rnacentral:rRNA from 1 species